UACGAAGGGUGCAAGCGUUACUCGGAAUUAUUGGGCGUAAAGGGCUCGUAGGCGGUUUGUCGCGUCGGGAGUGAAAACCUUGGGCCUUAACUCAGGGGCUUGCUUUCGAUACGGGCAGACUAGAGGUAUGCAGGGGAGAACGGAAUUCCUGGUGUAGCGGUGAAAUGCGCAGAUAUCAGGAGGAACACCCAGGUGGCGAAGGCGGUCUCA
rnacentral:rRNA from 1 species